GUGAACCUGCGGAAGGAUCAUUAAUGAAUUUUUAGGUGAAAUCUUUUAACAGAUUCACUGACCCUUUCAUUUUUCAAACUCUUGUGCAUUUUAUUAAUGGUGACUAAGUAAUUCUCCGGAAUCACUUUUUCACGUCUUUCAUUUAAAAAAACUUUAAUAGUCAGAGUAUGUUUUAAAAAUUUUAUAAUUAAAAAAAACUUUCAACAACGGAUCUCUUGGCUCUCGCAUCGAUGAAGAACGCAGCGAAAUGUGAUAAGUAAUGUGAAUUGCAGAAUUCAGUGAAUCAUCGAAUCUUUGAACGCAUCUUGCGCUCGCUGGUAUUCCGGCGAGCAUGUCUGUUUGAGUGUCGUGAACUCUUCAAAUCCUCCCUUAAUUAGGAAGUGAUUUGGUUUUUGAACAUUGUUGGAUUAUUAUUAAUCGAAACUUGUUCGUAAUAGAUUAGCAUUUCCCCAUUUCGAGAUCAGAUUGACUCGGCGUAAUAGAUUAUUCGCUGAGGAUUUAUGGAAACAUAAAGCUGAACUUAUGAGGAAAGCUUCUAAUCCCAUCCUUUCUAACUAAGAUUUAGACCUCAGAUCAGGCAGGAUUACCCGCUGAACUUAA
rnacentral:rRNA from 1 species